UUGGCCUUCUGGAUCCUUGGGCCAUUAAUAUUUUUAAUAGUGACUAUAAAAGCUGUUAGAACUCCAGUCUCAGCAAGGGGUUCUGAGAGCGGUGCCAUAACGAGCAAGCAGAGCCCUGGGUGGCAGGCUAGCCUCUGGGCUUUUACGCUGCUCUAGCUGGCUCUCUAGCCUUGAUCUCGCCAUUUAAACCCCCCCUUUCCAGGCUCCAGUCGAAAGUGCAGACAGAACUCUCCUUGACCUGAUAGGCCCACCUGACCCCAUGCCCCAGAGGUCGAAGAAACUUUCAAGUCUAACAUUGCAGAGAGUUGGAGAAACUGCCCGAGGGAUAACUUCCAGUGGCUCCCGGAAUUUUCUCACUGUAAUCAAGAGAAUGUUGAAAACAUGCUCUAAACUGUUUCUUGGAACGGCACAAAGGUUACCCAGAUAAUAAUGCAAAUGAAUUCUUUAUUCUUAUUUUGCAUUUGAGGAGAUUCUUUGGAUUUUGACAAUAUUCUGGCAAAGGACAGCUUCCACAACUGGGGAAUUACUUGCUGACUAAAAAAU